rnacentral:rRNA from 1 species
CCUACGGGCGGCUGUAGUGAGGAAUAUUGGUCAAUGGACGAGAGUCUGAACCAGCCAAGUAGCGUGAAGGAUGAUUGCCCUAUGGGUUGUAAACUUCUUUUAUAUGGGAAUAAAAUGUUCCACGUGUGGGAUUUUGUAUGUACCAUAUGAAUAAGGAUCGGCUAACUCCGUGCCAGCAGCCGCGGUAAUACGGAGGAUCCGAGCGUUAUCCGGAUUUAUUGGGUUUAAAGGGAGCGUAGGUGGAUUGUUAAGUCAGUUGUGAAAGUUUGCGGCUCAACCGUAAAAUUGCAGUUGAAACUGGCAGUCUUGAGUACAGUAGAGGUGGGCGGAAUUCGUGGUGUAGCGGUGAAAUGCUUAGAUAUCACGAAGAACUCCGAUUGCGAAGGCAGUUCACUGGACUGCAACUGACACUGAGGCUCGAAAGUGUGGGUAUCAAACAGGAUUAGAUACCCGGGUAGUC